UGAACUAACUGCAUUGCAGUCUAAUGCUGCUAACAAGCCUCCUCAAGUGACAUCCAGCAUACACCGGCAAUCUUACGUAGAUUAUCGGUCCAGCGGGCCGAAGGACGUCCCACACUGCGUUUGCCGAUACGCGGCCUCUACUCCACGACACGUCUAAUCCAACGGCCAUCGGUUCUGCAACACAGAUUCAAGAUGAUGCAGGGGACCUCGGUGGCAUGAGCCAG
rnacentral:misc_RNA from 1 species